AAAAAAAUCAGGCACGAAGAAACGUGCUAUUCUGUAAUUUAUCAGCGAAGCGCGAGCCGCCGGUGCGGUAGCCCUGACGCUGGGCUCUGCUUGUCUCCUGAGCACCAAGACUGCGGAGCCGGGCUGCGUCCCACCCCUGCACGAGGAGACUGAAGGCUCUUAACCGUGCUGACGACGUCCCAGGCCACCCAAGAAGUCCGCCUCCAGCAGAUGGUGCCUGGGAUGCCUCUGCCCUGAGUGUCCCCCAGGAGGGGAUGUGGUGCCGGGGGCGGACGCAGAGCCACCCAGGAAGCGGUCGCAGCCCACGCCGUGAGUCAACACCCUCCGUGCACAGCCUGGGCCCCAGCGCUGCGUCACUCCAGGUCCUGGGGGGCAGGACGGCGGGGCGGCCGGGCACUGGAAAGGGGAGCAGAGCAGGACGGCUGGGGGCUGCGGUCAGGGUGCGGAGCUUCCACACACCCCGUCUGUGACAGGCCUGUGUGGACCCCACUCUGCUUUCCGAGGGGGUUGGGAACCCCAGCAGGGAGCUGAGUGCCGGGAGCGGCCCGCUCAUUCUGGCCGACAAACUUACCGGGACGUCGAGCGGGACCCAGAGCCUCCCGCAGCCUCCUCACUGGCCAGCUCUGAGCCAAACCCGCCGCUCCUCCCAGCUGCCCCUCUCCCGGAAUCAACCACCGCCACGCACACGCAAGGGGGCAGAGGGGAUGCCACGGCCGGGAUUAGAAUCGGUGAUCACUGAACACUGCGCAGAGACCACGGCCGUGUGUGGCCCAAGGAAAGAGUCGCAGCAAAGAGGACAGAAAAGAGCGGACGGAAAUCACAGAGCUCAGCUUCAUAGCAAGGAAAAUAAGACUUCUGGGUGCAACCGCAGAACGGGUGCGAUGCUGCACGUGAGGAGGGAGCGAAGGGCAGAAAGUAGCGGAUGGGAAUGUCAGCAAGAGGACCAGUGGGAGAGGUCAGCUCGGUGGCGCCCUGCCUGCCUGGUGCGCACAGACGCAGGGCCUCGGUCGGUGGAUGAAGCUGAAAAGGACCGCGGGGAAAACAAGGUCUCUGCAAGGUUUCCCAACACCUCCCGGUUCCCACUGCCACACAACCAUGAUCAAAGCUUGCGUCCCCGAGUAGGAAGCAGGACUUGUAGAAGGUUCAGAAGAAAAGUCGAGGCACAGCCUCCUUCUCUGCCUCCUCCCAAAGAGUCUGGUGCUGGUCUUUUUAAUAGAAAUGUCACUCGAGAGACAUUUCCUCUACUUGAGUAUUCACGGAUACAGCACGCCGACGUCUCCCGCUGCAGGAGCGGGGCGAUGCAGUGAGGUCAGCGCGCGGAGAGCUCUCGCCACCCAUCCAUGUUCCUAGGCUGGUAAUCAAUCCCCGCUCGGGUCUCAGAAUAAAGCCGUCAGGUUGUGCAGCAUUAGAGGAAAUCACAGAACGCGCCGCUCCUCGUCUCUGUGUCAUCGGGACGCACAAGAGUGAGGGAGCCGCAGGACAGAGACGGUGACAAGUGGCCCCAGAACAAACUGCAGCGGGGUAAAGGUGGCUGCCCCAGGAGCAGACUGAGCUACCGUCUGAGCUGCACCUGCGAUGUCCCCUCCUUGCGGCCCUCUGCCCUGUCACAUCGUCCCCAACAGGAGGGCAGACGCCCCCAAGGCUCAGGUGAGCUCAGCUCCUCCCAGGCCCCUCCACCUCCGCGAAGGGCUGUACAGCUUCCCCAGCCCCGUGCCUGUCGCACACCAAGGAGGGGCAUCAUGUCACACCUGGCUCCCUGCAUUCUGCAAAGCUCCCAAAGGCAGGCAGCAGGUGAAACACUCCCUCCCUCCACCCACC
rnacentral:lncRNA from 1 species